GGUUCUGAGAGGAAGGUCCCCCACACUGGUACUGAGACACGGACCAGACUCCUACGGAAGGCAGCAG
rnacentral:rRNA from 1 species